rnacentral:rRNA from 1 species
GAUGAACGCUGGCGGCGUGCCUAAUACAUGCAAGUCGAGCGAACAGACGAGGAGCUUGCUCCUCUGACGUUAGCGGCGGACGGGUGAGUAACACGUGGAUAACCUACCUAUAAGACUGGGAUAACUUCGGGAAACCGGAGCUAAUACCGGAUAAUAUAUUGAACCGCAUGGUUCCAUAGUGAAAGACGGUUUUGCUGUCACUUAUAGAUGGAUCCGCGCCGCAUUAGCUAGGUGGUAAGGUAACGGCUUACCAAGCAGACGAUGCGUAGCCGACCCGAGAGCGUCAUCGACCACACUGGAACUGAGACACAGUCCCGACUCCUGGGGUAAGAAGCAGUAGGGAAUCUUACGCGAUGCGCGAAAGCCUGACGGUGCAACGCCGCGUGAGUGAUGAAGGUCUUCUGAUCGUAAAACUCUGUUAUUAUGGAAAAACAAAUGUGUAUGUAACUAUGCACGUCUUGACGGUACCUAAUCAGAAAGCCACGGCUAACUACGUG